CUGUCUUUAAAUUGAUGGAGAUGUUUCUGUUGACGGAGCCAACAAUAUUAUAUCUAUAAUUUUAAUUCCACAAUAUUAAGAUAAUUACAAGCAACAAUAUGGUCUCACUUGUGUUGUUAAAUGCUACAUGAUGAAACUGCAUUCCAAGAACAUAUUGUACAGUAUUUUUAUGUAAUUUCCUGGUUCACUGUGACUUUUGAUUUUAUCUUUGAGGGCAUUAUUCUUGCUUAGUUGUUCAGAUACGUUAUGUCCACUUCCUCUGCAUUUUUGCCUCUCCCUCCUUAGUUAUAUGUACUGCCUUUUGCAUAUAACUCAAAACAUACUCUUGUUCUGUCUUUGUUUUUCAUAUAUCAGGAAAAUGGCAUACUGUACCUCUCUCUGUGACCCUGAUAUGACCAUGGACUGGGAUUUCUGCAUCUGUUUGUUUUGUGGCUUCGCACACUUUAACUACCCAGGAAUCCUUGCGAAAUUCCAAUCAGACAACGGAUGGGAGGAGAUUUCGCUUAAGAGCAAUUGAUGACAUGGCUGAGAAGAAAAUAUUUAAGUGUAGGUAUCAUUACGGAGGUUACAUUUAAAAUUUGACAUGGUAUAUAUCCAGCUAAAAGUGUGUUAGAGAGGUUUAAGUUAGAGAUUGAUUAUUCAUGUGAUUUUUGCUCAAUGGAAAAAGAAUCUAUUGUCCAUCUGUUUUGUAAUUGUAUAUACACAAAAAAUUUUGGGGUGGAUUUGGAAAAGUUCAUUAGAAGGAAAACAAAUGUUAUAUUUAAAUUAAAUAAUUUUGAUAUGUAUGUAUUAUUCCAACGAAAAUAACAAGAAUAAUAAUAAUUUUAAUUUUAUUGUACAAUUGUUUAUUAUUGUCAUAUUUUUAAAGAAUAUUCAGUUUUUUGAUGAAUCAAUCANAAUGGUUUGUACACUCUGGCAUGUUUUUUUUCUGUGCAUUAAUAUUUACAUUUCUGUCUAUUAAUGUAUAUUUCUGGUUUCUCGUUCAUUAUAAUAAAAAAAUAAUAAUAAAAAAAAAAGGUAGGUAU
ensembl:lncRNA